UACGUAGGGGGCAAGCGUUGUCCGGAUUUAUUGGGCGUAAAGAGCGUGUAGGCGGCCAGAUAAGUCCGCUGUGAAAUCUCGAGGCUCAACUUCGAGCUGUCGGUGGAAACUGUCUGGCUAGAGUCCGGAAGAGGAGAGUGGAAUUCCUGGUGUAGCGGUGAAAUGCGCAGAUAUCAGGAAGAACACCCGUGGCUAAGGCGGCUCUCUAGUACGGUACUGACGCUGAGGAGCGAAAGCGUGGGGAGCGAACAGG
rnacentral:rRNA from 1 species